rnacentral:lncRNA from 1 species
CUCGGAGUUGUUGAGACGUGGGUUGUUUAUCUCUUUUAUUGCUUUGUAAAGGCUAUUUAAGCCCCUGUUUUUGUUGGAAUAAUACAUGCUUUCUUCUCCAAAAUUCUGAAACACAUAAAAGCAGGAUUCUUAACAGCUUUCAUAAAUAUCCAUCAGAGUUAAGUCUUGCAUAUGGAAUGGAAGUUGGAUCUAUCUUGGAAAAUGAGAUGUCUGAAUGAACACUCAAGUUUGGUCAUUUACGAAGCUCAUGGAGACUUUCACCCAUCUAUUGCCAACACUAAAUCAAACAUUGGACUCAAGCCACUUCAGACAUUUCUUUCAGUUGGAUAGUUAUCACUGAAACUCUUGUAACCAAUCAAGAGUCAAGUUACUUAUUACAAUUGGUUGCACAGUGAAAUGGAAACAAAGCAUCAGCUCUAAAUUACAUUUCAUGUCAGAAAUAAUUUUAAUGCUUGAAAAGAGACAGUAAAGAUCAACGCCGAAGCAUCUAAUUUUCCUUAUACUUCAUUAAGAGAGCAAAAGUGGAUGAACAAACGAUUAACUUGUUUUACAUAUCUUCUUUUUCUCCCUCUCCGAAAAUUGCAAAAAAAAUGACAGACAUAAUAAAAUCACACUGACACAGGACACAUCAAGCAAGCUGGAAUCAACAUCAACAUUAACAUUAAGUCUGGAAGCACCAUAGAGAGCAAACGAGGUCAACAGAACCUCAUAGUAUUGUAUAACAAUAAAGAAUGCAUUAGACAAAUUCAUCAAAAAAAAAAAAAAAACCUAUUAUAGUACAUUCAACUACCUCGAUAACCCAUCAAUUAAUAUUCCUUACUUACUUCUAUAAAAUUUCCUUCGCUUUUCCCAGACAUUACAGCACAAAUUAUUGACAAACUUCAACAACCCACGUGCAUGCAUCCAUAUACUAGUAUGAAUAGUUCAAAAAAAUGUUACCUCUGUCACCGUUUUGCUCGGGCGGCGGUGGCGGAGGGUCUCUUUUUGAGCCGCACGGUUUGAAUGGCCUCUGGUUUCUUGAAUUAUAGCAUGACACUUGUGAAUAAAAGCUUCCGAUUCCAAGUCGAAUAUCCAUUUGGUACAUCUAUGAUCCCUGUGAUUUUAGUAAUUGCAGCCACAAAUCGCAAAUUUUGUUAUCAAUUGUACGUACCUACAGUACAGGCGCUCUGAGGACCAGACAGUUUUUCACUGUUGUAAAAAAUGUGCUUUUGCGUGGUGGUAAGCAAAGUCGCUAAAGGAGAGAACGAGUUUAUAAAGGUAGAAUUAUCAAUUACUUAUAUUUUAUUCAUUGGUUUAUAG